AUUUUAAAAGUAUAAAAAGUUUCAUUUACGGGUCCAAUUGGGUUGAAAAAUUAGAACGGGUCAUUAGGGUUGAAACACAACAAAACCACGGAUGAACAACAUCAAUACAUCAUCUUCAAUCUUCAACCUCUCCUUCAAGAAAUCCUUCUUCGCUCGUUAAUCUCUCGGUCUACAUCAACGAUUUCUUCGCAUCGAAUCAGACACAGAUUGUUAAGGCCACCGGAGGUUGGUUUUCCGGCUUGAAAGGCAGGGCUGGAAUCAAGUCUGCUGACAAGAACGGAAACGGAUAUGUCGAUGAGUGCGAGAUUGAAAAUCUAAUCCAGUUUGCUCAAAAGGAAUUGGGUGUUAGAAUCAUACCAUACUAACAUAUGCAUAUGUAAACUGAUAUCUCUUUAUUUUUUGUGUAAAUAACAAGAGUUCUGAAACUUGUAUGAUUCCGUCUGUAUUUUGAAUUUGCAUUUGCAUUAAUGUUUCAGUUAUAUAUUUAGAAAAAGAUAAUGUUGAUUUUAGAAUAUGAAGGUACAUACCCUGGAUGAAUGAUUAUUUUAGUGUUAUAAAUUUCGACAGUUUACGUAGUUCUAAUGGCAGUCUUUGUUGACCUUCUUCAACAACAGCACCAGUAUUACCUGAAGAAGCCCACUUUUUUGACCCGAACCCGUCCCGACCCGAACCCAUUCUAAUGCCAGGUCUAGUUAUUUAGCAUUUAGGUUACUGUUUUCAAACAACUAACUAUCCCAAUUUCAGGGAGGUGGGCGGAGGAUCGGAUCAAUGCGUUCUUUUAGGAACAAAUUCCACAUAACUGCAUCAGGCGCCCAAGAGUCCAAGAAUAAGAUUAAAAUGCUCGAUUUUGCUAGAUUGAGAUUUAUAAUUGCCUGUUUAUGUUUAGCAAAAGACUUUUGUGUUUGUUGAUGCUGGAAAACUUGAUUGUUUUCUUCAGUAUUGGAUUGUUCUGGCGAGAGAAAUGAUCAAAACUGGACUAUUGUCAUUUUGGCAACAUGUAGCAAGUAGCUAGGGACAUCUGAAUGAUAUGCUUAAAGUUCUGGAUGCAAUAGUGUUAUCUGCAACAGAUUUAUUAAUA